AUGCAUUUGAAUGGCUAUGUAUUGACGCGGACGUCACUUUUAACAGGGGAAACAUAAGAAAGAGACAUUUUCUUUCACUGGAGAUGCGGAGCAGACGGGGAAGUUGGUCUUCUCGAGGAAAACACUGAAUGGUUCAUGCUGGUUUAACAGAAAAAUCGAAAGGAGAUGAUGUGCUUGAAGAGUAUGAAGCCACCAAUACAUUAAGUGGGAUGAGAAGAGCUUUGUUAGGACACAUACCAGAGACAUGGGAGCACUUUUGUGAUGCUGCAAGUGGGAGUUGGGUAUCUUGCUUGGCUGAAAGCUGCGGAGAAACACAUCUCGUCUUGCUGAAAACUACUCUUUACAAGGAGGUCCAAACACCAUUAGCAGAGACUUUGUUCAGUGAGCAUUAACAUGCAUUCUGCCUGGAUGCUAAUGAAUGGGAUGCUGUUGUCUAAACUGAUAAAUGUAAGCGUUAUAAACCUCAUGACAUUAAGUGUACAUAUGGACCAAAUAAGAAUAUGUAUUUUCACUGAUUUGCUUUGACAUUAUGAUGUUUUAAUUGUUGUAAGAACAUGUUCUUUACAUGCAUUGAAUGUGAAAACAUUUUUCUCAGGGAAAAAGAUUUACAAUGUUUCAAUUAAAAAUUGUAAAAGUG